AGUUGAGCUCAGAACACUUCCUGCGGAUCAGCCUCUUGUCAUGCACCACUGAACAGGGACGGUGGACAGCUCUGAACUGGGUUCCUGUUUUUGUUCUUCAAAUGGAAGGGAAUUUCAAGCCAUUUCUGUUUACUGUUCAACUCCCUACCCAGAGCAAUACUCAAGAAGAGAAACAAAGAAUUGAAAGUGAGACAGAGACUUGGAAAUCCCGUGAGCUUUAAGACUUUCUUAUAGAUCAGAGAAAAACUCUAUUAAGGAGAAGAAACUGUUUAUAAUCAGCAGACAGAUGAAACUUGUGGGUACUUUAUUUCAUGCUUUUGGUUUUUGAGCAAGAAUACAUUAUGUGUUCAUAUUUAGAAUUACAUGACCAAGUUUCUAUAUUUCAGCAUGUUUUAGGUAAAUUUGAAGUUAUUGUGUCGAAAUAAAAGUAAACAGAGAGCACUGGCCAUGAUACAAAGGGUCAGAAACAUGAUCAAAACAAGAAGUUAUCACUAUUAAAUCUAUGAUUAUCCUGUUAAACUUCAGUCUUUUAAACUCUCUCAAAUGCAGCAUGUUUAAGUCUCUGUUUCAGCUGAAAUGAAAUUUUUCACAUGUUUUGGUCUGAAUGAAUGAGUAUGUAUGUGUGAACAUCAGUUGUAUUGUGUACAUGUUGUCAUGUUUUGUAUGUUUACAUUUUUGGAGCCCACAGGUAUGUUUGUGACAUUUGAGUGUAUGUGUGGACAGGCCCCGCCCCUUCUAGAUUUGUAUUACAUCUAAAUGCGACCGUAAUGAGGUUUUCAGUUCUCAUCUGUUUGCUCAGCUGUUGGACAGGACAAGAAAAAAAAUAAAAAGAAAAAAGAAAUCCUUCAGAAUAAAAUAAUGGGAGAGUUUAGUUAGUUUAUUUAAGAAAAAGACAAAGAGAGGACAAUAACUCCAGAUGCCAUGACCCGACUUCCUUUUACUCUUUCAUUACUUCAUUUUCCUACUGACUUGUGUCUCUACCCUGAGUUAUAUUGCCUUAUCAGUGUUCAUUUCAUGAAGCUCACAGGUCUUUACCACAGUCAGGUAAGAACUUUGUCACAACUAACUGAUAAAUUUGUUGGUGAUUGCCACAGACGUACACUAUAUUACCAAUAGUAUUGGCUCACCUGCCAUGACUCACAUGUGAACUGAAUUGCCAUUCCAUUCCUAACCCAUAGAGUUCAAUAUAAUGUGGGUCUACCUUUUGAUGCUAUUACAGUUUCAACUCCUCUGGGAAGGCUGUCCACAAGGUUGAGCGUUUCUACAUGUUCCUUUCACUGGAACCAAGGGGCCAAGUCCAGAAAACAAGCCCACACCACAAUUCCUCCUCCACCAAAUUUCUCACUCGGCACAGUGCAGUCCAAAAUGGACCGUUGUCCUAGCAACCUCCAAACCCAGACUCCUCAAUCAGAUUAACAGAUGGAAAAGCGUGAUUCGUCACUCCACAGAAGGCGUCUCCACUGCUCUAGAGUCCAGUGGCGGUGUGCUUUCCACCACUGUAUCAACGCUUUGCAUUCCACUUGGUGAUGUGUGUUUGGAUGCAGCUGCUCGGCCAUAGAAACCGUUCCAUGAAUCUCUCUGCAUGCUGGACUUGGACAAAUCUGAAGGUCUGUUUGGAGCUCUGUAGCAAUUGACUGCAGAAAGUCCUCGACCUCUUUAUGCUUCAGCAUCCGCUGACCCCUCUCCAUCAGUUUACGUGGUCUACCACUUGGUGGCUGAGUUGCUGUUGUUCCCAAACUCUUCCAUGUUGUUCUGAUAGAACUGACAGUUGACUGUGAAAUAUUUAAGAGCGAAGAAAAGCAUUGAGUGAAUGAAAAAUGGAAGUCCUGCGCUUUGUAAUAAUUGGUGGGAUAUUCAACUUGUUCAAACUAUAUAUUUCCCUGACCAAUUUUGAACGCCUGUAUCCAUGGCAGGUACAAUACUUUUUACUACUACUUUGGUAUGGUGGAGGCAUGAUGUAAGACGGUUACCGAGAAGACGACAGCUAAAAAGGUACUGACAUGGUGCCUCUGUCAAUUACCUACCUCCUCCCCCUUCCUGCUCUGCUCUGGACGCGACCAGCUGGUUCCACUCACCUCAUCUCCAUCUCCGCCUACUUAAGGAGAUCCAGGACCUGUUUUCGACGCCAGUCCGUUUUUCCUCCCACGGAAUCAUCCUCACCACGAGUGAACCCCGGGUCGCAGUCCUCCUCUGUCGCUCCCCUCCUUGGAUUCAGCCGAAGCCACGCACUCUGGAUCGUCCUGCCACAAACCUCCAGUCAGCCGCCACGCCACAUCAAGAAUCCUGCUAUAUACUCACCACCUGUGAAUUAAACUCUCUUAACUCAC